rnacentral:rRNA from 1 species
ACGCACGCUGGCGGCGUGCUUCACCCCUGCAAGUCGCACGGUGAAGCGCCUUCCUUUUUGGUGGGUGUGGAUGAGUGGCGAACGGGUGAGUAACACGUGAGUAACCUGCCCCCUUCUUCUGGAUAACCGCAUGAAAGUGUGGCUAAUACGGGAUAUUCUGGGUCUGUCGCAUGAUGGGUCUGGGAAAGAUAUUGUUUCGGUGGGGGAUGGGCUCGCGGCCUAUCAGCUUGUUGGUGGGGUGAUGGCCUACCAAGGCGGUGACGGGUAGCCGGCCUGAGAGGGUGGACGGUCACACUGGGGCAGAGGCACGGCCCAGACUCCGACGGGAGGCAGCAGGGGGGAAUAUUGGACAAUGGGCGCAAGCCUGAUGCAGCGACGCCGCGUGAGGGAUGGAGGCCUUCGGGUUGUGAACCUCUUUCGCCAGUGAAGCAGGCCUGCCUCGUUUGUGGGUGGGUUGACGGUAGCUGGAUAAGAAGCGCCGGCUAACUACGUG